UACGUAGGGUGCAAGCGUUGUCCGGAAUUAUUGGGCGUAAAGAGCUCGUAGGCGGUUCGUCGCGUCGGCUGUGAAAACCUGAGGCUCAACCUCAGGCCUGCAGUCGAUACGGGCGGACUUGAGUACUGCAGGGGAGACUGGAAUUCCUGGUGUAGCGGUGAAAUGCGCAGAUAUCAGGAGGAACACCAGUAGCGAAGGCGGC
rnacentral:rRNA from 1 species